rnacentral:rRNA from 2 species
GACGAGAGAGCAGGAGCCUAAUUUGACUUUAGCGGCGGACGGGUGAGUAACACGUGGGCAACCUGCCCUGCAGAUCGGGAUAACUCCAGGAAUCCGGUGCUAAUACCGAAUAGUUUUCGCCACCUCCUGGUGGCGUACGGAAAGACGGUUUCGGCUGUCACUGCAGGAUGGGCCCGCGGCGCAUUAGCUAGUUGGUGGGGUAACGGCCCACCAAGGCGACGAUGCGUAGCCGACCUGAGAGGGUGAUCGGCCACACUGGGACUGAGACACGGCCCAGACUCCUACGGGAGGCAGCAGUAGGGAAUCUUCCGCGAGGGACGCAAGUCUGACGGAGCAACGCCGCGUGAGUGAUGAAGGUUUUCGGAUCGUAAAACUCUGUUGCGAGGGAAAAAACCGUGCCAGCUAACUACUGGCACCUUGACGGUACCUCGCCAGAAAGCCACGGCUAACUACGUGCCAGCAGCCGCGGUAAUACGUAGGUGGCAAGCUUUGCCGGAAUUAUUGGGCGUAAAGCGCGCGCAGGCGGUCCCUUAAGUCUGAUGUGAAAGCCCACGGCUCAACCGUGGAGGGUCAUUGGAAACUGGGGGACUUGAGUGCAGAAGAGGAAAGUGGAAUUCCACGUGUAGCGGUGAAAUGCGUAGAGAUGUGGA